AAAUCUAGGUUGGAGUUCCCUUCACUUCAAGUUUAAAAGUAUAUGACAGUAAACCUCUACUGCUAGUUCAUGGAUACCUCUGAUUUCGUAACAAAAUAAGAUGUGUGUUUGAAUUCAAGGGUUUGCAUGAAUUGGGAGAUGAGGUUACCUUGAUCUUUUUGUUUUGACGUGAAGGGAGCUCCACACUAACUUCUC
rfam:Cajanus cajan Scaffold000172_9, whole genome shotgun sequence.